AGCAGCCGCGGUAAUUCCAGCUCCAAUAGCGUAUAUUAAAGUUGUUGCAGUUAAAAAGCUCGUAGUUGAAUUUCGGGGUUAGCAAGUUGGUCGUGCCUUUGGUAUGCACUGGCUUUGCUGAUUCCUCCUUCUUGAAGAACUGUGAUGCUAUUAAUUUGGUGUUGCAGGGAAACAGGACUGUUACUUUGAAAAAUUAGAGUGUUUAAAGCAGGCUAACGCUUGAAUACAUUAGCAUGGAAUAAUGAAAUAGGACGUUUGAUCCUAUUUUGUUGGUUUCUAGGAUUGACGUAAUGAUUAAUAGGGUAGUUGGGGGCAUUAGUAUUCAAUUGUCAGAGGUGAAAUUCUUGGAUUUAUUGAAGACUAACUACUGCGAAAGCAUUUGCCAAGGAUGUUUCAUUAAU
rnacentral:rRNA from 1 species